CGUUUAAUGCUUCCUGAAGAGAUCUCGCUUGUUACUUGCCCUCCAGAUUAUGCAUAUGAUAAGUUUACAAGGCCUUCUAGUGUUCUUGAAGGAGCUUAUGUUCAGUGGGAAAUUGAGCUACUUGGCUUUGAAAUGCCUAAGGUAAUGAAGCUUCUUAAGUGCUCCAAACAUCUGGAACUCUUAUGUAUUGUGGUCCUUCCCUCUGUUUUGCUAAAAAAAAAGGGGGAUUCUUGUGAAUUUUGAAUUGAUUGUUUUAAAUUGCUUAGAACCUCUAAUAUGUGCCAUUUUAUUGUAGGUGUAUACCAUCCAUUUAUUUGGAGAUCAUUACCAAAACAUCUGAAGGACUCCAAGUAAAUGUUUUGCUUGUCUCGGUAACUGUGGUUGAUGUAAUAAAAUACUGUGUAAAUUCUAGACAAUGAUGCCCAAAUAUGUUUUCCAAUCAAGCUAUAGAUAGUUUUUGUGUAGGGCAAUUUAUUUUAUUCAAUAUGAACUCAUUUUCUUAUAAAUUUCCUGCAAACCGGUUAAAGAGUUUUUUA